GACAGUACCGGUGCAGGCAGCCUGGCUCGCAUCACAGCAGGUAGAGGGAGAAAGCCUCUCCCUCUCUCGCCGUGCCACAGCCGACUGGGCAGACCCUGCGUGUCCACACAGGAAUUGCUGAUGACGUGGGUAGAGUCUGCCGAGUUGUUCACAUGUGCGCACAUCCUAGCGGACGUGAAUAAGUCUGCUUGGACAUACACAAAAUACCCCUGACAUAGGCAGCUUUUGCCUAGCCAUGCACACAGCUAAUCCGGACAGAGUCACAUUUAUACAUGAUGAUCCCAGAAUUCCAAACCCCCUCCAGCCAGCUCAGGGUCGGGGUGGGCCGAGCUGAGUUUUUGAGAAGAGUCUUUUGGGAGUGAUUUUCAGCAGACGAAGAACACUUCAAACAAGAUUCUGCCCUGACACCAAAUUGUUCAUUAAAAUUAAACCCACAAAGCUGCUUCCACAGAUCCAGAGGCAAUAGACAUUCUGAUCAAUGGAGAAUAGACCCAGAGCAGCCAACUCAGACUCUGAGAGAUGAAAACCAUCACAAAACUAGAAAUUAUGGGAGUUCGGGGUCUCCUGUCUCUAAUUCCAGCUCUCUUCUGUUACAGCAUUUAAGGAAAAAAUUGGAAAUUAAUAGAAUAUUGAACAAAUUAUGGGAUGACUAAUAAAAUAAUUAUUGCACAUUAAAAAUGAUAAAAGGAAUGAACUCAUAGACACAAGGAAAGACUUGUAUGAAUUGAUGCAGAAAGAAAUGAAUGGAAUCAGGAAAACAAUUUCUACAAGAGCAACAACAUUGUAAAGAAAAAUGUCUGUGAAUGAAGAACUCUGACCCACAUAGUGACCACCCGUGACUCCAGAGUACUUAUGAUGAAGGAUUCUACUCAAAACCUGACAGAGAAGUGAUGAAUGUGAGAUGAAGAACAAGACAUACAUUUUAAGACAUAACCAACAUGUGAAUUUGUUUUAUUUGACUUUAUUUUUCCCAAGGGAGGGUAUUUUUAAAAAUUUGAGUGAGGGGAGGAAUUAUGAAUGAA
rnacentral:lncRNA from 1 species